CCAGCAACUUAAUAUUAAAUAUAGAACAGGCCGGGUAAUAAUGAUGAAAAUGUUUCCAUGGCCUAUUCAUGUCAACAGCACAGUAACAACCACGUUCUCUAAAGGACAAGAAUAUUUCACAAUCAGCUGCCUGAGCAUUGCCAGAUACUUGGUGGAUGCUGAAACUCAGUCUUGUUUUGGAUCCUAUUUUCAAAUCUUAGGAAGCAUCUUCAGAAAAGAAGGCACCAUAUGCGAUGUCACAUGCAGAAAAUCAGCGAGGUUGUCUUCUUACCCUCAAGUACCUAACAUCUAAAAAGCAGAAUAGGCAAAGGAGUGUAACUGGAGACAUUAGCACAUCCAGAAGAAAACAACAGAAAAAUAUGCAAUAGCCUCCAUAGGUCUCACUACUUCCCAGCCUGGAAACUCUGCUCUUGCUAAGCAAGGUGUCUUGCCUUCUCUUCCUCCAACAUAUCCCUCCCGUUUGUUAUUUCAAACCAACUCAACACCUGCAAUGUUUGCCCACCAAAUCAGCAUCACAAAAGACCAAGAGAAAUAUUGAGCCGCUUUGCUUCCAGAGGAUGUUUAGCAAUCAAAGAGGAGAGAAGAGAUCCUAGGGUCAUUCCCACUCAUCUGCUUAUUAAGCGUAGAUGAUCCUGUUGAAAAAGUCACAUUCAGUGUGACUGGAGCUGUGCAUUUGUAUUCAUCCCACCUUGGAAACAGUGUGAAUGUUUUUCUCUGGAGACUUAUGUAUUUCAGUGACAGCUGCAUUGCCACAAUAUGCUGAAGUGGCUCAUCUUGACAGGUCAUAUCCUGGCUUUCACAUUCUGAAUGGCAGCUGGGAUGCCAGAGAGUUUUCUCACAGUGGGUGGGCCCUGUACUUAAUCAGGCCAUCCUGGCUUCAGACACAAGCUGCACGUGUGGCUACAGCCCACUCUAGGAAGUCCAGGAUGUACCUUUGUUACUCUGCUUGCUCCCAAAAUAGUAGUGGCAUUCACAGUGGAGAUCUCUGUGACUCUAUGAGAACAGUGUGAAGUGCCUUUAAGGAUCACAGAUUUCCUGUGUUCCAUUGUAGCGCUUUUCCCUGAUGCCAUGUGCUUCAUCAGCCCCAUGCACACUGUUCUAAAUGCCAGUUAAGUGGUUCAAGGCUCAAACUGAACCUCUAUCCACAUCCAUUUUCCUGUGUAUCUGCAGAUACGUAAACUGAAGUGAAAAAUCAAAUACCUUAACUUACAGUUCUGGGACAGCUCACCAAUCAGAGCGAAGCUGUGAUUGUAAAAAGGAAGCAUGAGUCCACUCCCAUUCACUAGAAAGCAAAUCACCUGGUCCUGCAGGAGCCCUUGCUUCCUUCCGGAGGUGAGUUUCCACUUCGUGACUUCAUUACCAACUGGGGCCGGCAUAAACCUACCACUGUGCAAAACCCUAAUGGACUGAUGGGUGAUAAAUUAAUAUGUCCUGACAUGAGGAGCAUUUCCCUCAGCUUUUCAGAGUUUCUAGUUUGUGCUGGGCAAGCAGAUUUCAGGGCACUCACCCAGAACACCUGAGAAAGCGAUCUUCUGCUACUCCUGUAAGCUUGAAGCUCUACUUUUUACUCCCUCAGAUCUCAAAAAGUAGGACCUCUUUGAAAACUUCUCUAAAAGCAGCUCAUAAUAGAAUAAAACAAAAAAUGUGUUAGAUAGGAAUUGUGUUGAGUUUAAGAUUUCUAAGCACAUCUUUGCAAAAAGACUUCUCUCAAGCCAAAAGCCUAGACUAUGCUGUAGAUUUUCUCACUUGCAAGACUCCAGAGACAUCUAAGGCCGUGUUUCAGGAUUAAAUCUGCAGUUCGCCUUUCACAAAUCUCAAUAGAAAGCUCAAGAAUUCUAAUACAGGAGGAUCAGCAGUUUGCACGGAGUGUGGGAGAUCCUUAGUCCACAGAGGUUGAUUCAAGUCAAAAAAGGGAAAGAUCUUCACUUAAUACUACUCCCUAAAUGAACAAAGGAGGAGUUCAGCUUUUUCAAAGACGCAGAUUCCUGUGAAAUGUCUUAGCCCAGUGUGAGACUGAGAACAAUUUUCAUUUGCUUAAUUAUCCCAUUCAGGAAAAGGACAAAGCCCUGACAAGUGGGCUAUUAUGAAAUGCCAGUGAAUUCUGAUGCAGACAUUUGAGUCCAAAUACAGUGCAGUGAUCCUCCAAUGGAUGACGUGAGAAUAGGGAUUUGUAGGUACAGGACUAUGUCACGUCACAGAUCUUUCUCCAUGAAAUGUGACUAUGCUGAUACAGAAAUAUCAGUGAUGCAUGCCACAGCCUGCCAGGCUCCCGCUUGGUGAAACAAUUACCAAAAGGAUCCCAGUGAACCAAAGAACCAGGCAUCUGGUCUGGAGAAAAAAGAAACAGAGAAAAUAUUUGCCAGCUGAAUAAACUACGAAAUGUGUAUAGCAGCACUGAUUCUUCCUAGUAGUGACUUCUAUUAAUGUGGAUCUGCUGGCGGAUUGACUGCAACGCAUAUGGACUUUACAAAGUAUCAGGGCCUUUCAAUAUAUUUUUAAAAUGAUGACUAUUAAGAAGCAAAAACAAAGAAAAGAGGUUUACGAAGGUGCCCACAACCUACACCAACACGGUUUCUUUAGUUAUUUUAAAAUGGUACUAACAUUCACGUAAGACUGCACAAUUUCCUCAAGAAGUACUGAAAAAAUAGAUUUUAAUGUAAGAUCAGCUUGUCACAUUGGGAAAAUUUUAUAUGUGGCUAUAAAAGAAUUUCUGUAGAAAGUUUGCAGAGUUCUGUUGAGAGGAAUAAGAUCAAGGGGAUAAAAUGCAAAACCAUAACUUUAGCUUCAGGUAAUAAUUUUACUUUAAGUCAGCUCCACUGGAGGAAAGGAAAAGAAAAGAAAGUUCCUAUUAAAUAAAAUUAUCAAAAAUAUUAACAGUAUAAUAUAAAUCCCUUGCAUUUAUAUUACAUAAAGAAUAUCUAGAUGUCACAUGAGUGUUUUAGCUAUUUAAUUUUGUCCGUGUUUUUAACUGGCACAAAUACCACUGUAUAUUUGAAACAAGGAAGCUCUAUUCUGAAUUCAUUUAUUUGGUACUAAAGCCUAAUUAAUUUUGGCAACUUGCUCUGAAAUGUUAUAAGGGCCAAGGAAACUCAAUCUAUGUCAUUCAUUCAAUGGAAUCUAUGCAGUCCAAGUACGUAAGAAUUCCGAAUUCCUUUAUUACACUAUCACUUUGUGACUUUACUUUUUACAGAAGACAAAUGGAUUCUUCUACUGCUUUUAUUGUCCCUGGAGUGGCAUCAAAGGGCAAUAUUUUCUUCAAGAGCAUGCUCCAACUGAGUAAUGAGAGAAUGGGGCGAGCAACAUGAACCAUACUUUCAUUAUGCCAACAAUUUGGUGUUGACAAUGAAAAUGUAUACUUCCCAAAACAAGACCACUUUAUUCUUAGUA